AAGCUGGGACAGACUGACGAGGGUCUGCAGCUUUACUAUUCAGGGAUAGAAAAAUCCUUUAAAAAUUCCCCCAAAUGCCUUGGGUCAAUGUGGUAAAGGGAAAGCCUUGAUGAACUUAGUCCCAGAACUUGCAGGUUGCAGGAUCAGAGCUUGAAUUUUCAUUAGACUGUUCCAAGAAUGCUGAAAAGACAACACUCCUCUUUGAAACCAGUCUGGGAUUCUGAUCCAGGUAAUACCUGGUAGAACAGCGGGUAGCAUCGAGGUGUUUAAAAGGUGAACAGUACAAAAGGUCUCUGGAGGGCAUUCAGUAAAGUACUUGUUUGGAAGAUUCUGUUACACCUUCUUUUGUCCUUUCAGCUUACAUAGCUGAGACAGAAGAAACAAGGAUUUAGGAACAGCCUGACUAUGGUUCAGGAAGAAUAUCUCACAUGUAAGGAGCAACGUGAAAGGUGGCACAGAGAAAUUGCAGGAAAAAGAUGAAGGGAUAACACUGACAUCAUUGGCAUUGAAAUGUGUCUGAAAGAUGGGAGAGUAACAUGUUUGAAAUAAUCUGUAAAAAGAUGCAUUUUUGGAGUGACAUUUUUGACAGAUUCGAAAGUAAAUCUUAGUAUCAGAAAAGACUUCUGAGAAAGAAAUCGUCGACAUCAAAUCAGGACAUAACCAAGUUGUGGACAAUCAGUUCAGCUGUGAGGAAAAAGAGAAAGGGGCAAGAGUUUAAGCAUUAUGAAAGAUAAAGAUGGCUAACAGAGACUAUACCUUCGAGUAGGAUUUCUUGUGUAGAUCACAGUUUCUGACACUGGCUGUACAUGGAAGGAAAAAUAACCACCUUUCUCAUGGACAUAAAACAGGAUCUUUGGAAUUGCUUACUUUUUAUGCCAUAAUUUUGCACCCUCAGAUUCAUUUCUAAAAUCAAUUAAUUCCGCACAAACUCCAUAUACUGCAUUGGGAUCUUGGGCAAAUUUUUCUGCUUUGGCAGUAGAAGAGAAACAGCCUUCUGCCAUAUCUGUAAGUGAAAUACUCAUAAUCUGAUUUUUUUACACAAGAGGAGUCAGAAAGCAGUUUUCUUAACCUUUCUGGCAGAAUUUUUCUUUGUGUAUUGACUGGCGUUGUUUAGAAGCAUAAUAAUGGGCCUAACAGCUAAGAGUUCCCUUGUGUGAUGUUCGAAUCUGGAGUUAGGACAAGUCACUCAACCUGUCCUUGUUUUAUUUUGUAAAACAAACAACACUAUUUUAACUACUUUCCAAGGAUAUUAGAAAAAAUUAAUUAGUUUAGUAUUUGUACUGCAGUAAAGGCCUAUAUAAUUGGAAAGCAUCUUGAUCUUUUUAGUUAUUUUGUAUUGAUUUAACCUCGAAGGGCUAGUUUUGAUACUCUGCAUGGUAUUUUAAAUGUGCUAUUGUUUCAUUUAUAUAAGUAACAACUGAUUUUUCAAGCUACUGUAAUGAACCUA
rnacentral:lncRNA from 1 species